CCCUUUCCGUAGGUGAACCUGCGGAAGGAUCAUUAAUGAUUUUUAAAGCGAGUCGAGCGUUAAGCGAGGCUUGCGAAAAUAUUUAAAACCCCACUCUUUUUAACUUUAAAAAAAUAAAUCAUGAUACAUGAAUUUGAAAAAAAGAUCACUUUCAACAACGGAUCUCUUGGCUCUCGCAUCGAUGAAGAACGCAGCGAAAUGCGAUAAGUAGUGUGAAUUGCAUAAUUUUGUGAAUCAUCGAAUCUUUGAACGCAAAUUGCACUCCCUGGUAUUCCGGGGAGUAUGCCUGUUUGAGGGUCGUUGGAAUAAAAAAUCGAGGCGUCGCUCUUUUUUUAAAGGGUGAUCGCGUCGGAAUUGAGCCGUCUUUCAAAUGUUAAUUCAUGUCAAAGUGGCUUGAAAUUCAUCCAUCCGGUACGAUUAAAGCGUAUUUAAGAUCAAUUUUGUUCAAGAACGCGCGAUGACGUACCAUCUCAUGUAGUACGUUUGACUUGGCGUCGUCAGGUUCAUUCGUAUACGAUACUCAAACUUUUGACCUCAAGUCAGGUAGAAAUCCCGCUGAACUUAAGCUAUCAAUAGCGGAGAA
rnacentral:rRNA from 1 species